rnacentral:misc_RNA from 1 species
GACUGAAGAGAGAAAAUCUGGAAUGGAAUGUUGAAACUGCUCCUGUUGGGAGACCCUGGUCUGCACUCUAUCUGUAAACUUACUGAAGGGAGAGCAGGGCAGGGUUUCCCAUACAGAGGGCACAGGCUACUAAUGGGAACUCAAUUUCAAAGCCGGAAUCUACGCCAG